rnacentral:tRNA from 2 species
GCCUCCGUAGCUCAGUGGAUAGAGCAACUGUCUUCUAAACAGUAGGUCGGGAGUUCGAUUCUCUCCGGGGGCG